UCGCACGCAGAGAGGCUCAUGCAAAUAUGCAAACAAACAACAACAACAACUUGAGGUGGAAGACGGCACACCACAGGAAACGCAAACGCAGCUCCGCACUUCCUGUUGAUGCUCACCCGCAGCAUGCAAAGAGAGACGGAGGAAAGGGAGGUAGCUGAAAAUGUAGUUUAAGGCAGCAUGGGGAGCACAGUGGACUCCAUAAUCCUGAAAUGGAAGACAUUUGGGACGACCAGAACCCUUCCUCGAGCUGGCCGUCCGGCCAAACUGGGCAAUCGGGGGAGAAGAGCCUAGGUGAGAGAGGUGAAGAACAACCCAAAGAUCACUGUGACUGAGUUCCAGAGAUGCAGUCGGGACAUGGGAGAAAGUUCGAGAAGGUCAACCAUCACUGCAGCCCUCCACCAGUCGGGGCUUUAUGGCAGAGUGGCCCGACGGAAGGUCAAUUGGUUAGCACAUCCAUCUCACAGUUCAUAAAUUGCUGGUCCCUGUCAGGGCACUUGCCUUCUUGUGCAGAUGUUGCAUGUUUCCCCAUGCUUGAAUGGGUUUUCUCCUCUUCUCCCAGUUUCCUUCCUCAUUCCAAAUACAUGCAUGUUAGGUUAAUUGAAGACUAAAUUGUCCUU